AGUAUAUGUAGACUCUGUUUUCAAAACUUCCAUGGAAGUUAGUUCAACUGCAUAUUCCCAUGCCUGGUAAUGCAGCUGAUGGUGAAAAUUAGAAAUAUUUACCUCUAUAAACCCUGCAUUGUCAACACUAAUUAAACCUGUUUUACAUAGUCCUUCCCCAGAGUAGUCCAGCUCUUAAAGAUGCUAUUAUUGGAUCACCACAAGAAUAUAGAAUGGUAGAAGUGGGCCAGAGCUCUGCAAGCAACAAAAGAUCUUCCUGUCAGCCUUUAUGAUUUUUGUUCUCUUCUAGUCAGGGAAUUCAUUGCCAGGCCUUGCUGUAAGAUGGUAAGACAUCCAUCUAAUGAUGAGUCUUUAAAUAGAAAAACAAAAGUAUCCCCUGGAAAAAGUCAAAAGCCACUCGUACAACAAUACCAACACACAUUUCUUCAAUCCAGACAGCUAAGUUUUAGUUCUUCGCCUUGGGAAGUGACCUGCAUACACAUACAACGACAGCGUGAUUUCUUUCAUAAGGCUCUAGCAUUAACUUCCUGGGACUUCAUGUUCUCUUGCUGCAACUUUUUCACUUCAGAUACAAACACCGCUUCGGCUGAAGCUGUGGAGUCAAUGCAGUUGGCCUUAAUGGAAAUCACAAAAUGUCCUGAAUUCCGCAGGAAAGUGUGGGAAUCCCAGGCCACAAUUCGGGUUUGGUCUCGCUGGGCCACUUCGCCAAAAGGUUUAUCCACCAUUGUGAUAAGCAUGCGGUAUUUGUUUGGGUGCUGAGCAUCUUCAAUUACAGGAAUAAUGUUGGUCUUCUUCUUGAUCAAGUUGAUGAGGUCCCGGGCAGAG
rnacentral:lncRNA from 1 species